GAAAUGCGAUAAGUAAUGUGAAUUGCAGAAUUCAGUGAAUCAUCGAAUCUUUGAACGCACCUUGCGCUCCUUGGUAUUCCUUGGAGCAUGCCUGUUUGAGUAUCAUGAAAUCUUCAAAGUAAAUCUUUUGUUAACUCAAUUGGUUUCUACUUUGGUAUUGGAGGUCUUUGCAGCUUCACACCUGCUCCUCUUUGUUCAUUAGCUGGAUCUCAGUGUUAUGCUUGGUUCCACUCGGCGUGAUAAGUUAUCUAUCGCUGAGGACACUGUAAAGGGUGGCCAAGGUAAAUGCAGAUGAACCGCUUCUAAUAGUCCAUUGACUUGGACAAUACUUUUAUGAUCCGAUCUCAAAUCAGGUAGGACUACCCGCUGAACUUAAGC
rnacentral:misc_RNA from 1 species